rnacentral:lncRNA from 1 species
GAAAAAGAGGGAGUGUCCCUCCUCCAGGAAGCUCCCAGCCUAGCUGGCGAGCAUGGCCUCCCUUCUCCUCCUGGCCUCCCUUCUCCUCCUGGCCUCCCUUCUCCUCCUGGCUCCACGCCUUCUCUUUGCUUCCUCCCAUUGCCGUUUCUCCUGACGAUCUAAGAAAGAGCAGAAGCCUGAAAUUGGGACCUGGAGGGGACGUCUCUAAUCAAUCUUUGUCCUGGACGUGGGGACGCCGGCGCUGUGGUGCCUGCCCAGCACAUCCUGAGAUGACGCCACUGCUCCUCUUUGGCCCUGCUGAACUGUAUUCCAUGCUGGCUGUCUUUUUCCUGCAUGUAUGUUAAAGAGAUUGAAAAGUGAAGAUACCAGUGGGGUGAUGAACAGUUCAAUAAUGCUUUAUAGUCCAAAGAGCCCUAGGAGCACUGCUCAAUAUCCCAGAGUGGAAGACUAGAGUUUUCCUUUUGUUCAACUCAUAAACUAUUCUUAAAAGUGCCAUAUUUUCUUGAUUCCAUUGUUGUUCUCCCUGUUUAUGGCUCUGUUCAUUGUCCUGUGUCUAUGAAAUGAAGCCAUAAUAAAUGCUAAUCAUGUGUUU